UACGGAGGAUCCGAGCGUUAUCCGGAUUUAUUGGGUUUAAAGGGUGCGCAGGCAGGAUGUUAAGUCGGCGGUGAAAUUUUGCAGCUCAACUGUAAAAGUGCCUUCGAUACUGGCUUUCUUGAGUGUGGAUGAAGUAGGCGGAAUUUGUGGUGUAGCGGUGAAAUGCUUAGAUAUCACGAGGAACUCCGAUUGCGCAGGCAGCUUACUAAACCACUACUGACGCUCAUGCACGAAGGCGUGGGGAUCAAACAGGAUUAGA
rnacentral:rRNA from 1 species